UACGUAGGGUGCGAGCGUUGUCCGGAAUUACUGGGCGUAAAGAGCUCGUAGGCGGUUUGUCGCGUUGUUCGUGAAAACUCACAACUCAAUUGUGGGCGUGCGGGCGAUACGGGCAGACUGGAGUACUGCAGGGGAGACUGGAAUUCCUGGUGUAGCGGUGGAAUGCGCAGAUAUCAGGAGGAACACCGGUGGCGAAGGCGGGUCACUGGCCCGGUACUGACGCUGAGGCACGAAAGCGUGGGGAGCAAACAGG
rnacentral:rRNA from 1 species